rnacentral:pre_miRNA from 1 species
CGGGGGACGCCGGAUCCUGGGCUGUGUCCCGGCGCCCAGUGCUCCGGGGCCUGUGCUGUUGGAUUCGCGCUCCGGGUGGCACAGCCCCCU